rnacentral:rRNA from 1 species
AUUGAACGCUGGCGGCAGGCCUAACACAUGCAAGUCGAGCGGCAGCGGAAAAGUAGCUUGCUACUUUUGCCGGCGAGCGGCGGACGGGUGAGUAAUGCCUGGGAAAUUGCCCAGUCGAGGGGGAUAACAGUUGGAAACGACUGCUAAUACCGCAUACGCCCUACGGGGGAAAGCAGGGGACCUUCGGGCCUUGCGCGAUUGGAUAUGCCCAGGUGGGAUUAGCUAGUUGGUGAGGUAAUGGCUCACCAAGGCGACGAUCCCUAGCUGGUCUGGGAGGAAGAUCAGCCACACUGGGACUGAGACACGGUCCAGACUCCUACGGGAGGCAGCAGUGGGGAAUAUUGGACAAUGGGGGAAACCCUGAUGCAGCCAUGCCGCGUGUGUGAAGAAGGCCUUCGGGUUGUAAAGCACUUUCAGCGAGGAGGAAAGGUUGAUGCCUAAUACGUAUCAACUGUGACGUUACUCGCAGAGGAAGCACCGGCUAACUCCGUGCCAGCCGCCGCAGUAAGAC